rnacentral:rRNA from 1 species
UACGGAGGGUGCGAGCGUUGUCCGGAAUCACUGGGCGUAAAGGGCGCGUAGGCGGCGCGGGAAGUCGUCGGUGAAAGCUCAGGGCUCAACUCUGAGUCGGCCGGCGAUACUCUCGUGCUCGAGCACUGUAGAGGCAGGUGGAAUUCCUGGUGUAGCGGUGAAAUGCGUAGAUAUCAGGAGGAACACCUGUGGCGAAAGCGGCGCACUGGACCACAACUGACGCUGAGGCGCGAAAGCUAGGGGAGCAAACAGG